rnacentral:lncRNA from 1 species
CUCCCUCAUCUCUCACUUUCCUCCAUUAUCAACCAUUGGAGAGACCUUCGGAGCUUCCAAAAAUCAUACCAAACACAUCAAUCCAUCCUUAAAUCUUCCAUAAACACCUCCUAGCUACUUGAAUUCAAGAGAAUCAUUGAAGAGUGGCUUCAAAGCUAGAGUGAGAAAGUGUGAAGUUUUGGUGUAAAGUUGGGUAAGUGAUCAUGUAAUCCAUAGAUAUAGCUUAAAUGAUGUUGUAUGUGAGUAUUCUUGAAAGAUUGAAGCAAGAAAAUCACCCCCUUCCUCUUUCUAAAAUUUUCGAAAAUUUGGGUCUUCAACCCUUCAAAAAAAUUUCUUUUUCUUUCCUUGUUUUGGGGUGAAAAAUGAGAUCUAUGUGAUGUUUGUUGAUGAUUGAUGUGUGUUGUGAAGUAUAUGUCUUGAGAUGUGAAAGUUCGAUGGAGUUUAGUUUACCCAAAAUUGGGAACUUUUGAGUUGAUGAUUAAAAUGAUGAAUUGAUGAUGAAGAUGAGUCCAUGAGAUGUGUAUGAUGAUGAUUGAUGGAGUAAAUUGAGUAUAUGAUGUUAAUUGAUGAUUUUGAUAUGAGUUAGUCUAAUAAAAUUAGGGAUAUGUGUAUCUAUGAUCUAAUUUGUAAAUUGAUGGUUUAUAUGUGAGAUUAAUUGGUUAAGAUUGAUAGAUCUAUGAUUAGAUUAAGGAUAGAGUUUUAUGUUGAUACAUGAGUUUUCAUUAGAGUUUAGUUUACAUGAUAAAAAGGGAAUCUAUAUGUGUAUGAUGAGUUAUAUGAUAAAUGAGAUCAUGUUUGAGUGUUUGAGUAAUUUUGAGCAUGAAAAUGAGAAGAGAAUUUUAAUGAUGCGUUCGUUGAAACGUUUUCCUUGAGAUUUGAGUCUAAAGAUGUGAGAGAAGAGUCGAGAUUGAGUAUGAUGAGUGUUAUGUUGUACUUGAAUGUUUUGAGUGCUAUAAGUGUUUAAAAUGAGCUUUGAUGAGUUUGCUUGAAGAAAUAUUGAGUUGAGCAUGUUUGCUUGUGUGAUGGAGUUCGGAGUCAUUUUUAGUGAUGCACUGACCUACUGUUUUAGAGGGGUUUUUGUUACCCAAACACCAUGAAAAUUUUAUGGUAAGUAUAUUUGAGAGUCUUUAGCAUACCGGUAAAAUUUCAAGUCAUUUGGACGUCAUUUACUACUAGAGUUGAGCCUUUUUCUAUUAUUUUUUCUUUUUUUGAAUAAGAAUGGAAAUUAUUUCUAUCUUUUUUUUAGGGUAAAAAUAGUACACCCACUCGUCCGAUGCACGACGAACAUUGAAAUUAAGAGACAUUUUUAAAUAAAUAAAUAUAAAUAUUAAACAAAAUUAAAAUACAAACAAAUGCAAAUAUAUUCUAAAAAUGAAAUAAAAUACUAUUCACAUCAAUUACUGAAUAAAAAUCCAAAAUUUAAAAAGAUAAAUUUUCAACUUUAUAUAAAGUGUAAUCAUAGUAUAUUGAGCAAUUGAAAAUUAUUCAUUAAAUGUUAAUUAAUUCAAAUAUUUUGUUUCUUUAUUAUAUUAAAGAGUUCUAAAACGAAUCAAUAUAAUAUAAAAACAAUCAAAAACUCUAUUUUCAUUAUUUCCGAGGAGAUUUCUUUUAUGUUCACGAUAUUUCCGGGUGUGAAUUGAUUUCUUUUCUCCAUUCUCAUUUUAUGAAUUUCAGAGAUCAUGACAAACGUUUCUUUNUUUUUUUCCCCUUUACAAUGUUUUAGAAAUUAUCUUAAAAGAAAAAAAAAAAACAAACCUCAUUCUUAAAUGAAAAAGAAAAUGUUGGAAGAUCUGGUGGAGGAUCGUGGGCUUGUUUGUUAGCCACAGACAAUAGAGAGAGAGAAUAAUAAAAUUAGGAAGUGAUUGAAAGAAAAGGAUAAAAAUUGUAUUCUCCAUGUGAGCGAAAAAAUAGGAUAAUGAAGUUGAAAAAAGAAACAGAAUUUUUAAAUAAACUGUCAAACUUCCGUUAAAUAUUAGGAAGACUCUAUUACAAAAAUAACGGUAAAUAGGAUGACGUUAAAUUGCUUCUUUAUAUAUUAUAUAGAUUUUUAUAAAAUGAAAAACUAAAACUGCUACGUUCUGCCGAAUUGUUCGGUGAGUAGCCAAUAAAGUCACCUAUUCCAGUAUCUUUCCUUAACAUUAUGGAACCCAAGUUUUUAUGGUUGAGACAUGAGUGUCUUAGAUAAGUUUUCACCAAAUUUAAGACCUUUUCGGCAAUGUUUACUAUUUUUCAAAAAUCAAAGUUUUCGAUUGCUCAAAACUGCCGAAUAUGGUAGAUUGUAGUAAAACAGUCAUAUCUCCUAAAAUACUUGGAUUUUUUAAUCCUAAUUUUUUUUAAACGAAACCAGACUCAAAGAGGUUUCAUUUGGUAUGGAUUACGACUCCAGUGGAGUUUUGUACCGAGUCUGGUGAGGUUUUGAAUUCGAGUCAGUGCAGAGUGAAGGUUGUUUUUGACUUGUCUAUGUGUGAAUUUUAUAUGCUUAUGUGUUUAUGCUUGUUUAUGUGCUUGAAUGCUAUGAGUAUGAUCCGAGUUGAGAGUUAAGUCGAGAGUAGGACGUGUGAAUCCUUAGAAGUUGAGUAUACCUAGGGAUUGAGUUUUAAUGGGUAAAUAGACGUUGAGUGAAAAGUUAUAGUUUGAGAUGAGAUUGGAUUUAGUAAUUGAGUUUCUGACUAAGGUUUAUUUUAUCACAUGAACCUUCGAUGACGAUGAUGAUGAUUUAUGAAGGCCGAGCGAGACGAAGAAGUAAGUCGCCUGUUUUCUUUCCGAAACUAGCGAAGGACUUCAGGUGGGCAAUACUUUGAGUAUAAGUAUAUCAUACGAGCUUUCUAAAAUGAUUUGAUGAUGUUAUGAGUUUAUCAAAUGUUUUGAGAUAAAUGAUGUUUAAGAACUGUUUGACUUGCCGAUUUUUGUUGAUAAUGACUUGUGUGUUACCCUCUACUGAUGAGACGAAUUCGGUCCUGCCACAAGCGGGAUUUUGUGCACAGAGGUGACUGUGAGCCGUCUUCGGGUCGGCCGGUCACGAUACUUGAGAGGGAGGCCUACUUCUCAGUACCUUUGAUAUUGAUUAAUUGUAGAUGUGGUGCAUACAUGUUGAGAUCUUUGACUGCAGUCGUUUCUUUAUGAUGUCAUGUUUAUUAAAACUGCUUACACAGGUUCUUUUACGAUAAACUUUAUUCAUGUGUAUUGCUGAGAUGUGGCAAGUUUCAAACCUAUAGCUCUAAGAGCACUUUUCUUAUUUUUCGGCGUUCGUCCACUGAGUAUUAUGUACUCACGCCAUGCAUGUAUUUCUAAAUGUGCAGGCUAAGCGAGGAGCGAGAUUGGUCUGGUGCUGGUAGGGAUUUGUUUAGCUGAUGUAUUUACUUUAUCGCAUUUCCUUUUUGUCGAUAAAGUCUUGAUGAAUGAGAUACUUUGUUUUCUUUUGAAUCAAGCAAUGUACUCGCGGUUAUAUGUCUUCAUACAUAUAAUCGAUUCGUCUUUUGCUGCGAUACUCUGAAUAUUAUGAUUCCUUAUGAAAAAUGAGUUAUACCCGCUUUGUUUUUGUUCUUGAAAUUCCUGAUAAUUACGAAGUUAUGACGAUGUUGACAUUUAUACCCCUAGAGUUGAUUUAUGAUGAUUUCCUUAGCACUUUUUCAUGCGAGCUUCCGCUUGAUGUUCAAUCUAUUCUUCUUGUCUUUUAUUCUUUUAAAAUAGUCGUAUCGAUACUCGGUCCACGCUAUCACUAGCGUCGGGGAUCGGGCUGCGACAGGGUGGUAUCAGAGCAGGUCAUCUGCUCUGAGUCUAUUGCUUGACUAAGUUGAACCCUUGAUUGCUCCUACUCUUUUAAAAUUGAGUACUAGUCUAAUUUGAAUUCUUAGACUAGUUUGAGAGAGUCAGUUCGAAACGAAACCCCAGCACCCCAUCUCCUCCGGCUUAACGAGGUAAGAGGUUGAUGUUGUUUCUUGUUGCUUUCCUGUUGAGAGCUGAGUUUGAUUCACUAAUGAGUUGUGUAUUGUUUUGAUGGCGGAAAUGUUUGAGGUGAUGGAUUCUGAUAUGAGGCAGUUGUUGUGCCACCACUUCCCGAGGAGCUGUUUUCGAUUGCACCUUCACCCCCAGCUGAUCCGAUUCCAGUUUCAUCUGAACCUCAGAUUGAGCGAGUGCCCUAUGAUCCUUAUCCGAGGGUCGUUCCCUUACCGGAGCCGGGAACGUUGGAGUUUCAGUUAUUUAUGCAUCCAGUUUUCUACCCACCGUCCCGAGAUGCCCAGGAGGGAGGAUCUCGGCCAGCCCUGCUCGACAGCGACGAGGAGGACCCCGAUGAGGAGACUCUGGAGAUGACGGUCGGCUAUGGACGGACCCAGCCACUGCAGCGUCAUACUACUACCGAUAGAGUUGAGACAUGGGUACCUGUUCCUGAGGUGCCGGUUUAUGGUCCGAUGGUGGACACCGAUGUCGAGGAUGAGCCGAGCGAUGAUAGCGUCUACCGACUGAUUGACGAGUACGAGAGUCAGGAGGCAGAGCCAAGUGAAGAGACGGAGCCGAGCGAGGAUAUGGAGGUCGAUGAUGCGACGAGCAGGACUUUGGGAGAUGAUGGAUAGUGACCACGUUUAUCUCGUAGGCGCGUACAUAUGUAUAGAUGCAUAGUUGAUAUAUAUAUAUAUAUAUAUAUAUAUAUAGGUAGAGAGGCAUAGUAUAGUGUGUAUGUGUAGAUAGUAUAUAUCUAUAGAUGCUUAGUACCUAUGAUGCUUGUAUAGCUAGAGCAUCAUUUUAGUGUUAGGACCUUUGUACAUAGGAUCCUACUUUUGUAAAAGACCUCGAGAGAGAGGCAGUUUUCCUUAUAUAUAUAUAUACAGAGAUGUUGAUGAUUAGUGAGUUUCACUUUCUUUAUCAGAGCUUUGAGAAUGAUGAUGAUGAUGCUGAUGCAAAUUGAUAGAUGAGAAAUAGAGAUUGAUGAGAAUUACGAACGAUGAUAGACGAGAAAUAGUCUGGACAAGAAUUUUGAGAAUUUUGAGAUCACAAACGAGAUAUAGAAGCGAAGUGAGAAAAAGAGAAUUUGUAUUUUGUAAUGACAAACGGCUAGUUUCAAGGCCGAUAGUUAUAUAUUUCUUUUUCCUUUAUAGUAUACCUCCGAGAAGAAGAGGGAACUGAAGGAACAUAAACCGAGAAGAAGAUGAAGAAGAGGAGCAGAGAGACCAACAGUUGAGAUAAUACGGAGAGAGAGCUAGAGAUUUCAUCGCAAUUUAUAGACACGACCUUAAUGGGACGAACGUAUUAUGGAGACCUCAUGGGAUGCAUAGAUACUAUUGACCAAUUGUACUUUGAAAUAGAGGUACUUUCACCGGGACCGCGCGUAUCAUCGCUAGAGUAGUCAUGAGAGUAGACUUAUUGAGUCCCUAUCCCGCUUGGUCGUAUUUAAAUUUUUCUGCAUCCAUUUGAACUCCUACAGGAGAUGAACUAUUUGCUAUUGAGAAAUUUUUCCAGAUCCACUGUGUUCGAGCCUAAGCCGUUUGUGUUGGAAAUCCUUACCCCUUGCUUUAACAGUGGACAAUUUAUUCAUUUUCCACUUAGUGGAUUGCUUCUACUUCCAGUAUUGAUUUACUUCCAUCAUAUCAUAUCUCAGUUUUUAUUCUAGUUUCUGUUCUAGCUUUUGAUCUUACCUUGAUUGUAACUUCUUCAUUAUCCUUGAGAUAGCACUGGCUAUUAUGGAAUCAUUCCAUUACUUGAGCUCGUCUUGUUCAAGAUCAGACAUUUUUAUUCAUCACAUCCUAUUCCCUACCACAUCCGACAAGAGUUAGGAAUGUCUAGGUAACUAGGAUGGUAUAACAAGAAGAGUGUUUGGAAGAAACACGAGUUAUGGGAGCAGUCGUAGGAUAUAUAUUAUUACGGGACGAGCACAACUUUUCGAUUAUGGAUUUUCUUAUAUUAGCCAAGUAUGCAAAAAGCUAACCAAUUCGAGGAUGAGAAGAAGUGAUGCUAAGCCAGAAUAGGCAACAGCAGAUACAAGGAGAUCGAGAUGACAGAUUAGAGCAGAUAAUGUUUUCCACGAUAGCAGACUGAGAUGACGACUAGUAUAGAUGUAGCAUCGUCGUAAUAUUAGGGGAUGUUUUAUUUUCGUUAUGCCCCGCAAUUAGUAAGAGUUCUCGAAAGAGAAAAUUUUCUUAUAUGUCUAUAUGACGAUGACCAGAGAGUCUCUAUGCUUGAGUAGAGCUUUGAUCUGAUGUUGUGAUGAUAGACAUGAACCAUGUCUUUGACAUUGAGUUAUGAGAAUUGAGAAAAUAGUAUGAUGUUGAGUAAGAGUCUUAUGAUUUGUGAGUUAUGAGAAUUAGUUCUAAGGUUGAUAUAUGUUCCCUUAGACUACCGCCAAGAAAGAAAAACCGAAUGAAGAAAGAAAUAGAGUUGUUAAUAUGAGAUAAGGCAAUAAAACCGUAGCUGAAUACGAACGUCAGUUUCGCGACUUGGUUCGGUAUGCCACAUAUCGAGAAGAGAUGAACGAGAAGAUGUCAGAAUUGUUCGAUCAGGUUUGAGACAAGAGGUACGAGACGAUUUAACGAGUCAGAGUGCGGUUAUGUGUACUGAAGCAUUAAAUAGAGCAUUUGAUAUAGAACUGGCAAUGCAGCCAGAGAACGUGAUUUGAGCUUCAGCACCCAAACGAGUUAGAGCACUCAGACGUGCAAUCCAUCCUUUUCUGGACGAGGGCAAGAAGGAAAGAGAGAAAAUGGGACGACCGAAGUCAAGAUCCCAAAAAGCCGUGGCAGAGUAAGAAUGCGCCACCGCAAUAUCAGAACUGAAGCAAACGGCCUUAUGUUGGCCCAACUGCCCCGCAACAGUUUCUUAAGACGAGGAUACGCACUGCAGAAGGCAAUAAGAUUCAUCUGAGAGAAUGCAAGAUGAGAAGAAUAGCUGUUACACCUGGGAAGGGUGGACAUAUCGAACAUGCCAAUCGUCACAAGGGAAGCGGAGAGACCGAGUCAUUUCGCCGCAACUCAAACAAUGGAGGGAAUCUACCGCUACCCACCACAGCGACAACAGCCAGCCUAUCACCACGUCAGUCAAAAGGCAACCACCAGCCCCCAGGAAUUAACCCCAUCACCAGAGACUGUUCGCGCUUGAGCAGAAAGCACCGACAAGAAUCGAGGAAAUUUAUACGUAUAGGCGAGUUAUAAGGCGUACCUAUAGUAAUCUGUUCGACACUAGAGCAUCGUAUCCUUUUAUCUCUCAUAAUUAUGUCGAUACCUUAGAAUUGAAUAUAGAGCCUGCUCCGCAACGUCUAAGAGUAACCACACCCAUAGGCAGAACUACUACGGUUUCACACGUGUGCCCCAACUUAGAAUUUAAGUUAGAAUCGAUUAAGCUCGAGGCUAGAAACCUGAGAUUGAUGCCUAUGUGGCACUUGGAAAUAAUUUUGGGGAAUGGAUUGGUUAGAGGAAAACCAUGCGAAGAUACAAUGCAAGGAGAGACGGAUAUCUUUCCAGCCACCUGGCCAAGAACCUACUUCCUUCAUUGGUAUUGAGGGAAAAUGGAAGGAGACGCCAAUCAUCUCGGCACUGCAAGCCAGGAAGCUCUUACAAAGAAACGAUACAACCGCAUACGUUGUAUAUCUGAACCAGAGUGAGGAGCCUAAGACGAAUAUAAACAACGUGCCAGUCGUGCGAAAAAUAUGAAGAUAUAGAUUACGUUUAUCGAAAUUACCAUCGGGUCGUCAACUUGAGUAAUAAUCGGGCUCGAGACCCGGAACUUAUGUUCCCGUGUUUUAUUCGAUGUAGUGCUUCCCCACGAAGGGCACCAGUUCUCCUCGUUAAGAAGAAGAUUAUGCAGUUUUUACAGACGCAACGAAGAAUGGUCUAGGUUGUGUACUGAUGUAAGACGAAAGAGUUAUAACAUAUAGUUCGCGACAACCAAGACCGCAUGAGAUAAAUUAUCUAACGCAUGACUUAGAAUUAGCAGCCGUAGUGCAUGCUUUGAAGAUCUGGAGGCACCAUCUCCAAGGAGCACGGUGUAAGAUAUAUACCGAACACAAAUGUGUCAAAUUUUCCUUUGAGCAAAAAGAUCUGAACAUGCGACAAAGAAUAUGGUUAGAAUUGGUGAUAGAUUACGAUUGUGGGAUAUUUAACAUCCCAGAAAGGCUAAUGUUGUAACAGAUGCGUUGAGUAGGAAGAAUCAAGGAGAGUUAGGAUUUCUCCUUACUCGAGAAGUGAACCUGAUCAAAGAAUUCGAGAGAAUGAAUUGGAGGUAGUAAUACCACCGCAAACGACGAAAAUAGUGAUUGCAGCACUAAGCAUCACACCUGUUUACGAUCGAGGAUACUCAUAGCUCAGAGAGAGGAUGAAAAGAUGGAAAGGUUGCGAAUGAAGAUUCGAACCGAGAGAGUAGAGAAUUAUCAAGAGACGGCAGAUAAUGCCAUUUUGUUUAAAGAGAGACUGUGUGUGCCUGAUAAAGAAGAGUCGAAGAAUGAAAUCACGAGCGAAGCUCAUGAUACCCCUUACACCGCACAUGCGGAAAGUAUGAAAAUGUGCCAAGACUGAAACGACGCUUUGAUAGGAGAAUAAGAAGCGAGAGAUGGCAUCUUUCGUAGAAAGAUGUUUGACGUGUUAACACGUGAAGGCGCCACUUUGGCAACCUUAUACAAAUUACACCUAUUAGAGACUUCCACAAUAGAAGUGGGACCACAUAGCCAUGAAUUAUGGCAUCGAUUAGCAAAAUCGAGAGAAGAAAAUCCAACAGUUGAGUAAUCACUGAUAGAUUCUUUUGACGUUAGAAACGAUGUUUAUGUGAGUUUUCCCUAUCUCGGGGAGUAUGUUAUUUUCGAGUUAAAGAAAAACUCAAACCGAGAUAUAUAGGACCUUAUGAUAUAUUAGAGAAAGUAGGCCCUGUAGCCUAUAAACUAGCGUUGCCUCCGAGCUUCGCGAACGUCCAUGACGUUUUCCAUGUUUCUCAACUGAGAAAGUACGUGUUUGAUCCAAAACACGUCAUCCAUCAAGAAGAAGUGUCCCUGGAACCAGAUUUGAGCUAUGAAGAGAGACCUGAUGCUAUUCUGGACCGGAAGAUCCAACAAUUGAGGAACAAGUCGAUUCCUUUGGUGAAAAUCCAAUGGAGACAUCACGGUCAAGAAGAAUCAACAUGGGAACUUGAAGAGAAGAUGAAAGAGAAGUACCCAGAGCUUUUUCCCGAAGGUGAAUAACUCAAAUUUCGGGACGAAAUUUUUUUUAAGGGGGGUAGGAUGUAACACCCCGUACUUUUCCUUAUGUUGUGAGAUAGUGUCUUAACACUAUUGAGAGUACUGAGAUGUCGAGAUGCGAGAACUUUUUUUUUAUGACCAGAUAAGACAGAUUGUCUUUUAAAUAGAGAUACGAGUGAAUAAACCGAUGAUAGAGUUAGAGUGAUGAGAUUUGAGAAAUGAGUUGAGAUAGAGAUGCUGAUUGAAUUGAGCUGAGAUUUUAUUUUAUUUCCGAUUACCGGGAAUAGAUUUACCAGAUACCGAGUUAUCAGAGUUUGACUGACCUAUUAAGAAAAUAGGAAUAAUGAGUCUGACAUAGAGUCGAGGAAGAAAGAGUGAGAACCUUGAUGAAAAGAGUCGGUCUGAGAGACGUCUAGUUUGUUUGUGUUUGCCGACUGCUUUGAUGUGAUGUUAUGUGAAUUUACGUGACUGAUUGAUUAUGUGAUUUCUGUGACGUGUGUCAUUAUGACCAAGUUAUUAUGAUUUUUAUUUGAGACUUUAGCACUUGGAAUUUUGAUUAAGUUUCCAAAGCAAGUGCGGUUUAUUUUUACCGAGAAAUCGAAUGAUGCCGGUUUAUGGAAAUUUUUCCAAGCAUAAUAUUUUUAAAUUAUUUUUCCUACGAAGAGGAAUAUUAUAAUUGAGUGAGUGCACUAAUAUUAGUGCUAUAAUUAUUUAUUUUGGUCACAUGAAUAAUUAUGCUAUGGUAUUUUAUUAAUGAGUAAUAUUUCCAUAGUUAUUGUGAUUAUUAUUUAAUCACCCUUCUCACACUUUAUUUUAAUUUCCCAUACCAUAUGAUUAAUAUACCAAAAUUUGCCAAGUGUAGAGAUUGAGAGAGUAGAGAUUGAGAGUGUAAGAUUAUGAGAGAGUAGAGAUUGAGAGUGUAGAGAUUAGAGAGAGAAGUGUGGAGAUUAGAGAGAGAGAGAUCAAGAUUUCCAUAAGAUCUCAAAAUCUUCCAAAGAUUAGCAAGAUCAAUUCAUAUCUCACCAAAUAUUUGCAAGAUCAACUCAAUCUUGCAAAAGCCAAAUCUCUCUCUCCCUCACUAAAUUUUCGGCCAUCACCCCUCUCUCCCUCACUACAAUUUUCGCCCAACACACAUACAUACACUCAUCUUCUUCACCUCACACUUCCACCAUUUUCCUCCAUUAGAGCAAACCUUCGAAGCUUCCAAAAAUACUACUAAACACCUCACAUCACUCUAAAACUUUCCAUAAACACUAUCUAUCUUCAUUUGAUCAAGAAAAUCCUUGAAGAAGAAGCUCCAAAGUAGAGUGAGAAAGUGAGAAAUUUUGGUGAGAACUUGGGUAAGUAACCAUGUUUUCCCUAAAAUCUUGUUUGAAAGAUGAUUGUGUGAGUGUAUUUUUGAAAGAUGAGCAAGAAAAUCACCCCUCCCUUUUCUUUUCCAAAUUUUCGAAAAAGUGGGUCUUCACCCCUUUCAAAAAUUUUUCUUUUUCUUUUCUUGUUUGGGGUGAAAAAUGAGAGUUAUGUGAUGUGUAUUGAUGUUUGUUAUAUGUUGUGAAAUAUGUGCCUUGAGAUGUGAAACUUUGAUGGAAGUUAGUUUACCCCAAAAAUGGGAACUUUUGAGUUAAUGAGUUAAAUGAUGAAUUGAUGAUGUAAAUGAGUCCAUGAGAUGUAUAUGAUGAUGAUUGAUGGAUUAAUUUGAGUAUAUGAUGUCAAUUGAUGAUUUUGAUGUGAGUUAGUUUAAUAAAAUUAGGGAUAUGUGUAUAUAUGCUCUUAUUUGUGAAUUGAUGGUUUAUAUGUGAGAUUAAUUGGUUAAAAAUGAUAGAUCUAUGAAUGGAUUAAAGAUUCAUAUGUGUUUAUAAAAUUUUCAAAGAGUUAGUUUAGUAAAAAUUAGGACUUUUUAGUCUAUGUGUUAUUUAAGUGAUUUUGCUUAAGAUAUAUGUUUUUAAGCAUGAUAGUAGUGUCUUUGUAUUUUUGAUUAAGUCUAUUGUAGGCUAAAUAAAAUUUUGGCUUAGUUUAGUUUGUAUGAUUUUUGAGUUUUUGUAUGAUGUGAGUUUGAUGCUUGAUAAAAUGAGGUCUAAUUGCUCUAUGAUCAUUAUGUGAACUUUAUCCAUGUUUUGUUAAGAGUUUUAUGUUGAUACAUGGAUUUUCAUUAAAAUCUAGUUUACAUGAUAAAAAGAGAAUAAAUAUGUGAAUAAUGAGUUAUAUGAUGUAAAAGAUCAUGUUUGAGUAUUUGAGUAAAUUUCGAGCAUGAAAUGAAAAGAGAAUUUGUUUGAUAUGUUCGUUGAAGACGUUUUCCAUGAGAUUUGAGUUGAUGAUGAAAGAAAAGAGUCGAGAUUGAGUAUUAUGAGUAUUUUGUUGUACUUGAAUGUUUUUAAGUGCUAUAAGUGCUUAAAAUGAGCUUUGAUGAGUUUGCUUUGAAUGAAAUGUUGAGUUGAGCAUGUUUGCUUGUGUGUAUGUUUCGGAGUCGUUUUUCAUGACGCACUGACCUACUGUUUUCGAGGGGUUUUUGAUACCCAAACACCCUGAAAAUUUUAUGGUAAGUAUAUUUGAGAGUCUUGAGCACACCGGUAAAAUUUCAAGUCAUUUGGACUUCGUUUACUAUUUUUAUAAAAUGUAAAACUAAAACUGCUACGUUCUGCCGAAUUGUUCGGUGAGUAGCCAAUAGAGUCAUCUUUUCCAGUAGCUUUCCUUAGCAUUCUGGAACCCAAAUUUUUAUGGUUGAGACCUGAGUGUCUUAGCUAAGUACCCACCAAAUUUCAGACCUUUUUGACAACGUUUACUAUUUUUCAAAAAUCAAACUUUUCGGUUGCUAAAAACUGCCGAAUAUGGUAGACUGUAGUAAAACAGUCAUAUCUCCUAAAAUACUUGGAGUUUUUUGAUCCUACUUUUUUUUAAAUGAAACUAGACUCAAAGAGGUUUCUUUUGGUAUAAGUUACGACUCCAGGGGAGUUCGGUACAGAGUCUGGUGAGGUUUUAAAGUUGAGUCAGUGCAGAGUGAAGUUUGUUUUUGACUUGUCUAUGUGUGUUUUUCAUAUGCUUAAGUGUUUAUACUUGUUUAUGUGCUUGAUUGCUAUGAGUUUGAGCCAAGUUGAGAGUUAAGUCGAUAAUAGGACGUGUGAAUCCUUAGAAGCCGAGUAUACCUAGGGAUUGAGUUUUAAUGGGUAAAUAGACGUUGAGUGAGAAGUUAUAGUUAAGAUGAGAUUGGAUUUAGAAAUUGAGUUUCUUACUAAGGUUUGUUUUAUCACAUGAACCUUCGAUGACGAUGACGAUGUGAUGAUGACAUAUGAAGGCCCGAGCGAGACGAAGAAGUAAGUUGCCUGAUUUCUUUCCAGGAUUAGCGAAGGACUUCAGGUGGGCAAUAUUUUGAGUAUACGUAUAUCGUAUGAGCUUUCUAAAAUGAUUUAAUGAUGAUAAUGAGCUUAUCAAAUGAUUUGAGUUAGAUGAUAUUUGAGAACUGUUUGACUUGCCAAUUUUUGAUGUUGAUUUGUGUGUUACCCUCUACUGAUGAGAUGAGACGAAUUCGGUCCUGCCACAAGCGGGAUUUUGUGCACAGAGGUGACUGCGAGCCGUCUUCGGGUCGGCCGGUCACGGUACUUGAGAGGGAGGCCUACUUCUCAGUACCUUGAUAAUGAUGAGUUGUAGAUGUGGUACAUGCAUGAUGAGUACUUUGAUAGCGCUAUCGUUUAUUUAUGAUAUCUUGAUUAUGAAAACUGCAUGCACAGAUUCAUUUACGCUAAUUUUAUUUCUGUGUAUUGCUGAGAUGUGGCAAGUUUCAAACUUAUAGCUCUAAGAGCACUUUUCUUGUUUUUCGGCUUUUGCCCACUGAGUAUUAUGUACUCACGCCCUGCAUGUAUUUCUAAAUGUGCAGGCUAAGCGAGGAGCGAGAUUGGUCUGGUG